UACGUAGGGGGCUAGCGUUGUCCGGAUUUAUUGGGCGUAAAGAGCGUGUAGGCGGCUAUGCAGGUCCGCUGUGAAAACUCGAGGCUCAACCUCGAGACGUCGGUGGAAACCGCAUGGCUAGAGUCCGGAAGAGGAGAGUGGAAUUCCCGGUGUAGCGGUGAAAUGCGCAGAUAUCGGGAAGAACACCCGUGGCGAAGGCGGCUCACUGGCCCGGUACUGACGCUGAGGUGCGAAAGCGUGGGGAGCAAACAGG
rnacentral:rRNA from 1 species